rnacentral:pre_miRNA from 1 species
AGAGUUGAACAAAGCCAAGGAUGACUUGCUGCAAUUUAGUUCUGUUUGCUUAGGGAGAAAACAAUGCUCCAAAGCCUUCAAAGUUGUCGUCGGCAAGUCGUUCUUGGCUACAUUUGCCUCUCU